CGGCGGUGGAAAUAGGGUUUCAUGGUGCUCCUGGAUGUUUUCGGGGUAUAUGGGUAUAUAUAGGAGGAAGAAGUAGGUCGGUGGAGCUGCGAGGGGCCCACGAGGGUGGGGGCGCGCCUAGGGGGGCAGGCGCGCCUCCCUGCCUUGUGGCCUCCUCGAUUCUUUCUUGACGUCCACUCCAAGUCCUCUGGAUCACGUUUGUUACAAAA
rnacentral:rRNA from 1 species